rnacentral:sRNA from 1 species
AGGUUCGGGUCGAACGUAGUGAGACAACGGAGCCGCUUGCGGCGACGGCCCGAAGGGCGAGGCGAAGCCGAGUCAUCCUGCACGACCCACCA